CCUACGGGGGGCUGCAGUGGGGAAUAUUGCACAAUGGGGAAACCCCUGUGCCGCAACGCCCCGGGAGCGGUUAAGGCCUUCGGGUCGGAAAACCCUUUCCUUAGGGAAGAAUACUUACGGUACCUUAGGGGGGAGCCCCGGCCAACUACGUGGCAGCAGCCGCGGUAAUACGUAGGGGGCUAGCGUUAUCCGGAAUUACUGGGCGUAAAGGGUGCGUAGGCGGCCCUUCAAGUCAGAGGUGAAAGGCUACGGCUCAACCGUAGUAAGCCUUUGAAACUGUAGGGCUUGAGUGCAGGAGAGGAGAGUGGAAUUCCCAGUGUAGCGGUGAAAUGCGUAGAUAUUGGGAGGAACACCAGUUGCGAAGGCGGCUCUCUGGACUGUAACUGACGCUGAGGCACGAAAGCGUGGGGAGCGAACAGGAUUAGAUACCCUAGUAGUC
rnacentral:rRNA from 1 species